rnacentral:rRNA from 1 species
GAUGAACGCUGGCGGCGUGCCUAAUACAUGCCAGUCGAGCGAACGGACGAGAAGCUUGCUUCUCUGAUGUUAGCGGCGGACGGGUGAGUAACACGUGGAUAACCUACCUAUAAGACUGGGAUAACUUCGGGAAACCGGAGCUAAUACCGGAUGAUAUUUUGAACCGCAUGGUUCAACAGUGAAAGACGGUCUUGCUGUCACUUAUAGAUGGAUCCGCGCUGCAUUAGCUAGUUGGUAAGGUAACGGCUUACCAAGGCAACGAUGCAUAGCCGACCUGAGAGGGUGAUCGGCCACACUGGAACUGAGACACGGUCCAGACUCCUACGGGAGGCAGCAGUAGGGAAUCUUCCGCAAUGGGCGAAAGCCUGACGGAGCAACGCCGCGUGAGUGAUGAAGGUCUUCGGAUCGUAAAACUCUGUUAUUAGGGAAGAACAUAUGUGUAAGUAACUGUGCACAUCUUGACGUUACCUAAUCAGAAAGCCACGGCUAACUACGUG